AUUGAACGCUGGCGGCAGGCCUAACACAUGCAAGUCGAACGAGUGGCGGACGGGUGAGUAAUGUCUGGGAAAAUGCCUGAUGGAGGGGGAUAACUACUGGAAACGGUAGCUAAUACCGCAUACCAUCUGAUGUUCCCAGAUGGGAUUAGCUAGUAGGUGGGGUAACGGCUCACCUAGGCGACGAUCCCUAGCUUGUCUGAGAGGAUGACCAGCCACACGGGAACUGAGACACGGUCCAGACUCCUACGUGAGGCAGCAGGUGGGAAGAUUGCACAAUGGGCGCAAGCCUGAUGCAGCCAUGCCGCGUGUAUGAAGAAGGCCUUCGGGUUGUAAAGUACUUGCAGCGGGGAGGCGUUACCCGCAGAAGAAGCACCGGCUAACGCCGUGCCAGCAGCCGCGGUAAUAC
rnacentral:rRNA from 1 species